GUGAUAGAUAGAUCAAAUCGAUUGAUACAAGUGACUGAACAGUUAAGUCGAGAGCCUCCAAAGAUAUGAAAGAGGAGGAUAAGAGCAACGAGCGAAAUAGGAAGCUGCCACCAAGCUUCCUUCUGUGUCUCUCAUGGCGUAUUAGUUUUUCAUUUUCUUUCCUCAAUGGCAUCAUUCAGCCUUCUUCAUUCCCUUCUUCAACUCACCUUCAUCAUCUUCUGCUCUCUCUUGCUGUACUCCAAGCUCUGAUCACAGAAGGGGGAGGGAGGGGGGGAGAGGGAGAGAUGUUUGCUCCGCCGGGCUAUCAGCAAGUGUCGCACUUCGAUCACGUCCGUCGGCGCCAUGAAGAAAGAGGCUGUCUCUAUGCCUGCCUGUUCGCGCUGUGUUGCUGCUUCUGCUGCUUCGAGACUUGCGAGUACUGCUUGGAGAUGCUCUGUUGUUGCUGCCCCUAAAAUAAACAACACGCAUGAAUUUCAUGGAUAUCACUCCCUCAGUUUCUCAUGAUGUUCUGUAGAUCUGGCUUCUUCAGUGUAUCCACUUUGAAAUAAUAGGAGGUCUCGGUUCAUGUAUAUCUUCUAAUAUACCUGAAGAAGUCCUAGGCUUGCAA